rnacentral:rRNA from 1 species
CCUACGGGAGGCAGCAGUGGGGAAUUUUGGACAAUGGGCGAAAGCCUGAUCCAGCAAUGCCGCGUGCAGGAAGAAGGCCUUCGGGUUGUAAACUGCUUUUGUACGGAACGAAACGGUCUGCUUUAAUACAGUGGGCUAAUGACGGUACCGUAAGAAUAAGCACCGGCUAACUACGUGCCAGCAGCCGCGGUAAUACGUAGGGUGCGAGCGUUAAUCGGAAUUACUGGGCGUAAAGCGUGCGCAGGCGGUUAUAUAAGACAGUUGUGAAAUCCCCGGGCUCAACCUGGGAAUUGCAUCUGUGACUGUAUAGCUAGAGUACGGUAGAGGGGGAUGGAAUUCCGCGUGUAGCAGUGAAAUGCGUAGAUAUGCGGAGGAACACCGAUGGCGAAGGCAAUCCCCUGGACCUGUACUGACGCUCAUGCACGAAAGCGUGGGGAGCAAACAGGAUUAGAUACCCUGGUAGUCCACGCCCUAAACGAUGUCAACUGGUUGUUGGGUGCAUUAGUACUCAGUAACGAAGCUAACGCGUGAAGUUGACCGCCUGGGGAGUACGGCCGCAAGGUUGAAACGUCAAAGAGUAAGUGCGNGNGAGAGCGACGACGACGACGACGGAGGGAGGAGG